GAUGAACGCUGGCGGCGUGCCUAAUACAUGCAAGUCGAGCGAACAGAUGAGGAGCUUGCUCCUCUGACGUUAGCGGCGGACGGGUGAGUAACACGUGGAUAACCUACCUAUAAGACUGGGAUAACUUCGGGAAACCGGAGCUAAUACCGGAUAAUAUAUUGAACCGCAUGGUUCAAUAGUGAAAGACGGUUUUGCUGUCACUUAUAGAUGGAUCCGCGCCGCAUUAGCUAGUUGGUAAGGUAACGGCUUACCAAGGCAACGAUGCGUAGCCGACCUGAGAGGGUGAUCGGCCACACUGGAACUGAGACACGGUCCAGACUCCUACGGGAGGCAGCAGUAGGGAAUCUUCCGCAAUGGGCGAAAGCCUGACGGAGCAACGCCGCGUGAGUGAUGAAGGUCUUCGGAUCGUAAAACUCUGUUAUUAGGGAAGAACAAAUGUGUAAGUAACUAUGCACGUCUUGACGGUAACUAAUCAGAAAGCAACGGCUAACUACGUG
rnacentral:rRNA from 1 species